rnacentral:rRNA from 1 species
CUGAACCAGCCAAGUAGCGUGAAGGAUGACUGCCCAACGGGUUUUAAACUUCUUUUAUAACGGAAUAAAGUUCUCUACGUGUAGAGUUUUGUAUGUACCUUAUGAAUAAGCAUCGGCUAACUCCGUGCCAGCAGCCGCGGUAAUACGGAGGAUGCGAGCGUUAUCCGGAUUUAUUGGGUUUAAAGGGAGCGUAGACGGGUCCUUAAGUCAGUUGUGAAAGUUUGCGG